rnacentral:rRNA from 1 species
AUGAACGCUAGCUACAGGCUUAACACAUGCAAGUCGAGGGGCAGCAUGGUCUUAGCUUGCUAAGGCCGAUGGCGACCGGCGCACGGGUGAGUAACACGUAUCCAACCUGCCGUCUACUCUUGGACAGCCUUCUGAAAGGAAGAUUAAUACAAGAUGGCAUCAUGAGUCCGCAUGUUCACAUGAUUAAAGGUAUUCCGGUAGACGAUGGGGAUGCGUUCCAUUAGAUAGUAGGCGGGGUAACGGCCCACCUAGUCUUCGAUGGAUAGGGGUUCUGAGAGGAAGGUCCCCCACAUUGGAACUGAGACACGGUCCAAACUCCUACGGGAGGCAGCAGUGAGGAAUAUUGGUCAAUGGGCGCAGGCCUGAACCAGCCAAGUAGCGUGAAGGAUGACUGCCCUAUGGGUUGUAAACUUCUUUUAUAAAGGAAUAAAGUCGGGUAUGGAUACCCGUUUGCAUGUACUUUAUGAAUAAGGAUCGGCUAACUCCGUGCCAGCAGCCGCGGUAAUACGGAGGAUCCGAGCGUUAUCCGGAUUUAUUGGGUUUAAAGGGAGCGUAGAUGGAUGUUUAAGUCAGUUGUGAAAGUUUGCGGCUCAACCGUAAAAUUGCAGUUGAUACUGGAUAUCUUGAGUGCAGUUGAGGCAGGCGGAAUUCGUGGUGUAGCGGUGAAAUGCUUAGAUAUCACGAAGAACUCCGAUUGCGAAGGCAGCCUGCUAAGCUGCAACUGACAUUGAGGCUCGAAAGUGUGGGUAUCAAACAGGAUUAGAUACCCUGGUAGUCCACACGGUAAACGAUGAAUACUCGCUGUUUGCGAUAUACGGCAAGCGGCCAAGCGAAAGCGUUAAGUAUUCCACCUGGGGAGUACGCCGGCAACGGUGAAACUCAAAGGAAUUGACGGGGGCCCGCACAAGCGGAGGAACAUGUGGUUUAAUUCGAUGAUACGCGAGGAACCUUACCCGGGCUUAAAUUGCAGAUGAAUUACGGUGAAAGCCGUAAGCCGCAAGGCAUCUGUGAAGGUGCUGCAUGGUUGUCGUCAGCUCGUGCCGUGAGGUGUCGGCUUAAGUGCCAUAACGAGCGCAACCCUUGUUGUCAGUUACUAACAGGUUCCGCUGAGGACUCUGACAAGACUGCCAUCGUAAGAUGUGAGGAAGGUGGGGAUGACGUCAAAUCAGCACGGCCCUUACGUCCGGGGCUACACACGUGUUACAAUGGGGGGGUACAGAGGGCCGCUACCACGCGAGUGGAUGCCAAUCCCAAAAACCUCUCUCAGUUCGGACUGGAGUCUGCAACCCGACUCCACGAAGCUGGAUUCGCUAGUAAUCGCGCAUCAGCCACGGCGCGGUGAAUACGUUCCCGGGCCUUGUACACACCGCCCGUCAAGCCAUGGGAGCCGGGGGUACCUGAAGUGCGUAACCGCGAGGAGCGCCCUAGGGUAAAACUGGUGACAGGGGCU